CAGGCUGGCCAAUCUGAAAGAACCAAAGUCAAAGAAGACAUUGUCUUGGGUCCCCAGGUUCCUCCCCAGCCUAGCAGGAUACACAGAUGCACAAGGCAUGAAAAAUGACAUGCAGAAUAGAUGUUGAGCUCCGGGAUGUGGAUUCACUUUGGAAGAAGCAUUUAUUUAUUUAAUUUUAUUUAUUUUGUUUUAUUGGAGGGAGAAGGAGAAUCCCAAGCAAGCUCCACACCCAGCAGGGAGCCUGAUGCGGGGCUCGAUCCCACAACCCUGGGAUUAUGACCUGAGCCGAAAUCUAGAGUCAGAUGCUCAACCGACUGAGCCACCCAAGCGCCCCUAGAAGAAGCAUUUAAUCCUGAAUGGGUUGGAGAAAAGCGAGGACGCUUGAGCGCUGCCUUCAGAGAUUUCUGCAGGUAGCCUGGUGAGAGAGAGACCUACUCUAUUAAGAUGGAAGCCUGACACCGCAUGAGUAUCAGAGAUUGGUUACAGCAAGAAAAAAAUGCUGCAACAGGCUGAUGAGACAAGAAUCACAGUUUUCCUUCCUACAAUAUGAGAAAUUAUGCCUUUUGAGAGGAGGCAGGUGGGAGUGUCCUGAAACCUUGUACUCUCUCGUCCCUCCAGUUCAGGCAGGGCUAAUUGGUUAAUAACAGCAUUUACAGAAAUAUUUCAUGCUUUUCAACUUUUUUUUUUUAAGAUUUUAUAUAUUUAUUCAUUAGAGACACAGAGAGGGAGGCAGAGACCUAGGCAGAGGGAGAAGGAGGCUCCGUGCAGGGAGCCCGAUGUGGGACUGGAUCCCGGGUCUCCAGCCAGGAUCAGGCCCUGGGCUGAAGGCGGCGCUAAACCACUGAGCCACCCUUGGAUCCUUAUUUCAUGCUUUUCAAGACACUCUUAGGGUUAUCCAGAUGAUUUGAACUGAGAACUCAUGAGCAACUUCAUGGGAGGAGGAGGGUGGGUGACAUUAAACUCAGUAAGAACAGUGAGGCCCCAGGUUAUGGUGUGAGCUGAUCAUGCCUCACUGGGAGUAGAAUCAUGGUCUCCCUCAACUUCUACCUCAGUACUCUUUCUUUUUUUUUUUUCUACCUCAGUACUCUAAGUAUUCUUUGUACUUCAUCUCAUACAUGCUCAGUUUUCUGGAUUUCUUCUCUUCUUUCUCCUUCUUCUUCUUCUUCUUCUUCUUCUUCUUCUUCUUCUUCUUCUUCUUCUUCUUCUUCUUCUUCUUCUUUUUUUUAAUAGGCAAGAGUAUCCAAAUUGCAAGGCGUGCUUGGCACUAUUUACAUUGUAAGAGGCUUAAAUUUUUAAUUUUCUUUUCCAUUUCAUUGGAACAUUUUGGAAAGUUGCACAGCUUUUCAUUCCACUGCAUUCUGAACAUAUCCUACCACUGUGAUCCUAACCCCUGCAGAGCCUCGGCAGGGUUGGACUUCCAAGAAAUCAGUGAAGAUAAUGAGAGGUCCAGCAGGUUGAGAAUGUUCCAUGAAGCAAAAGUGGGCCAAAGCCCUCUUCCUUGUGAGACCCCAUCACAUGAAGGAGACAGCAGACCACGGACUUGGAUAACCGGGCUCCAACAGCCCAUGUGCUCCCAGCUUACCUAAUACCUAAUGUGCUCUCUGCAGCUUAACACAUUUUCUACCUUAUGUCCCCCAAAUCAUUAUUAGAGGGCAGAGUCCUUCCUGGCCUCGGACUGCUGGAUUGCAUCAGGCUAUAUGUCACUGCAUUCCAUGGCUGCCAGUGAUGAACCUCCUCCUGGGAUAUAGAUCCCCUGAACACACACGUCACAACCACCCCUCUGGGUGUCCAAGUCAGACAUCACGGAGUCAUCCUGCUGCAAGGAGGAAUUGGUGCUUCCAGGGAAAACUGUGCAUUGUCUAGAGGACACAGCUCUGAGUACUCCGACUGCAUGCGGCCUGCUGUACAAGCCUGUACAUCGUACGUAACAGAGGCAGAUAAUUCUUAGCUGUAGACGUGCAGAUCCCGCUCUAUCUUGUAGAGGUCGGCUGAAUUCUCUUCACUGGGGAAGAAGCUAGUUUUGCUACCAUUUGGGCAUUCAUUUCAAUAUUCCUCAUCUAUAAAUGUGUCUAUUUUUCAAUUUCUCCCUGGAACCACUUAUAACAUCUGCCUGGCUUCUUCUUUACGAGUAAAAUAAAAUCUUUAACAUGUGUUCAUUUUA